CCUGUGAUUCAACAGUUUAACUCUUCAGGUCAAGAAAGUAGAAAAUACGCUCCUUUUGAUAUAGAAAUCCUCAAAGACCUGAAAAAGGCUUGCACUCUUUAUGGGGCUACAUCAACUUAUGUUAAGAUGUUAUUACAGAAUUUGGCUUUUGAAAUCUUGACCCCUAAUGACUGGAAAUCUAUAGUAAGAAUAUGCUUAAAACCUGGACAAAACUACUUGUGGCUUUCUGAAUAUAGUGAGCUCUGUAGAAAUACAAGCAAACCCUCUCCCCCAAGCAGUUAGCCUAUGUGGUCCCUUCCAUUCACCACUUUCUGGGUCUCUCCACAUCACCUGGCGAUUAUCUAAAGAUAAUGGAGCUGCUCGCACUGGACACUGCUCUUCCGGUGGGUUAUAAAACCUGUCUGCCAGAGCCAGUGCAUCUUUGUCAAAAAUCAAGAAGUUAAUAGUAUAAAGGGUUAGAUUUAGAAGUUCUCCAAAAGGUUUGGCAAUUGUCAAUGUUGUAAAAUUACCCAUACAUAUAACUUGUAAAUAAAAAGCUCUGAAAUUAAAAAAAAUAAUAAGAUAAAAUCCAACAAAAGAAAUGCCUGUUGAUUCAGUGAAGUGAAGGUUAGAGAGGGUGAAUAGAUGAAAGCAAUGAUGGAAUUCCCCAGGAUGUGUUGACAAUGAAAGGAAGACAUGACUAGGAUUUUCAAUUUAUUGUUUUAAAAAAUGCACAUUUAAUCAUUGAUAACUGCUGAUAUAAAGAAGAGAUUCCAGAAUUUCAGGAAUCCUUAAUAUGCCUUUUAAUCUUAGUGCAUAUGAAUUUCAUCAUUAAAAGAAUAGAAAUAAAAUUAUUUAGUGAACUAAGGUACAUGGAUAACAGUACUGUUUUUUUUAACAGUAAAAAAAAAAAAAAAAAAAAAAAAAGAUUUAGAAGUUCUCUAGGGUUACCUGUGGCUAAUGAUCCUGCAUAUACUUCCAAACAUUUUGCACACUUUUGUGCACAGUAUAAGAUUUUACACACCACUGGCAUACCUUUUAAUCCUCAAGGACAGGCAAUAGUAGAGAGGAGAAACAGAGAUAUUAAGACGCUGCUCUAAAAACAAAAGAAAGGGGGAGCCACAGGUAACCCUAGAGAACUUCUAAAUCUAACCCUUUAUACUAUUAACUUCUUGAUUUUUGACAAAGAUGCACUGACUCUGGCAGACAGGUUUUAUAACCCACCAGUGCGAGCAGCUCCACUAUCUUUAGAUAAUCGCCAGGUGAUGUGGAGAGACCCAGAAAAUGGUGAAUGGAAGGGACCAGAUAGACUAACUGCUUGGGGGAGAGGGUUUGCUUGUAUCUCUACAGGUGGAGAAGGAAUCAGAUGGGUGCCAACGAGCCGUAUUCGCCUUGUCCAUCGCAGAGAGAUGGAGCAGACCCUUGAAACAAAGGAGAAGACCCAAGAAAUAUCGGGUGGUUCUGUUGCUGAUUGUGCUCAUCAUUUAAAGAGUGUGGCAGUUAGAGCGUUUGACUCAUGGACAUCGAAAAUUGUUGGACUUCAAAACCCUCAGGAAUCAUUGGAUUCUCUGAGACAUGGUGGUUUAUAAGCUAUUUCAGCAGCAGUCUAGCUUCUGUUUCUGCUUCCAUUUAUCUUCACCGAAAUGUUAAUCAUCAUGACUCCCCACAUCCACCUCACUGAUUUCUGGACUUCAUCACAUGAGCAUACCUUCAUGCUUCCUUUUAACUUUCUUUUUCUUUUGAAUAUGGCUUACCCUUCCAAAGUCAAAUUCCAUUCAUGCGUCUCAUAUGGUCAUGUGUUUCAAUAGUACCUUAAAGGGAUAAUUCAUGCAAGUACUUAGUCACUUUGCUUUCAACCCAUACCUUUAUAUAUUUGUGUAUAGGUACCUAAAGCCACCAGUUUCUUGCUGACUCCUUUUUAUGUUUAUUU